rnacentral:misc_RNA from 1 species
GUGAAGAACGCAGCGAAAUGCGAUAAGUAAUGUGAAUUGCAGAAUUCAGUGAAUCAUCGAAUCUUUGAACGCACAUUGCGCCCGCCAGUAUUCUGGCGGGCAUGCCUGUCCGAGCGUCAUUUCAACCCUCGAACCCCUCCGGGGGGUCGGCGUUGGGGAUCGGGAACCCCUAAGACGGGAUCCCGGCCCCGAAAUACAGUGGCGGUCUCGCCGCAGCCUCUCCUGCGCAGUAGUUUGCACAACUCGCACCGGGAGCGCGGCGCGUCCACGUCCGUAAAACACCCAACUUUCUGAAAUGUUGACCUCGGAUCAGGUAGGAAUACCCGCUGAACUUAAGCAUAUCAAUAAGCGGAGGA